AGAGUUUGAUCCUGGCUCAGGAUGAACGCUGGCGGCGUGCCUAACACAUGCAAGUCGAACGAAGCAAUUAAAAUGAAGUUUUCGGAUGGAUUUUUAAUUGACUGAGUGGCGGACGGGUGAGUAACGCGUGGAUAACCUGCCUCACACUGGGGGAUAACAGUUAGAAAUGACUGCUAAUACCGCAUAAGCGCACAGUACCGCAUGGUACAGUGUGAAAAACUCCGGUGGUGUGAGAUGGAUCCGCGUCUGAUUAGCCAGUUGGCGGGGUAACGGCCCACCAAAGCGACGAUCAGUAGCCGACCUGAGAGGGUGACCGGCCACAUUGGGACUGAGACACGGCCCAAACUCCUACGGGAGGCAGCAGUGGGGAAUAUUGCACAAUGGGCGAAAGCCUGAUGCAGCGACGCCGCGUGAGUGAAGAAGUAUUUCGGUAUGUAAAGCUCUAUCAGCAGGGAAGAAAAUGACGGUACCUGACUAAGAAGCCCCGGCUAACUACGUGCCAGCAGCCGCGGUAAUACGUAGGGGGCAAGCGUUAUCCGGAUUUACUGGGUGUAAAGGGAGCGUAGACGGCGAAGCAAGUCUGAAGUGAAAACCCAGGGCUCAACCCUGGGACUGCUUUGGAAACUGUUUUGCUAGAGUGUCGGAGAGGUAAGUGGAAUUCCUAGUGUAGCGGUGAAAUGCGUAGAUAUUAGGAGGAACACCAGUGGCGAAGGCGGCUUACUGGACGAUAACUGACGUUGAGGCUCGAAAGCGUGGGGAGCAAACAGGAUUAGAUACCCUGGUAGUCCACGCCGUAAACG
rnacentral:rRNA from 1 species